rnacentral:lncRNA from 1 species
AUUCUACUGUGGGCCUCAAAAUCUAAAAGCGCAGAAGCUCCAUUGGAAUUAUAGAUAGAUUGAUUUACUAACAGUGAGAAAUGACGACAAUUACGUUAUAUCGUGUCUGGUAUAUUGCAAAAAAUUGAUUACGAUAUAUUUUUUACGGUUCUAUAGAAAAAUAUAAAGCAUAUCUCCGCCUAUUUGCGUUAUAUAGGAUCUCAAUACCAGCUGGGCAUGAAAUCUAUUAUCUAGGCAUCAAGUAACAAAAAUAAAUGAUGUUAUCACUUGUUAUAUGGAAAAAAUUAUUGUUAAAGUCUCUGU